UACUGGUGAAGAACAUGGUGUGGUGU
rnacentral:piRNA from 1 species